GUAAAGUUAUCUACUGAGAGUCCAAAGGGGAGGGGGAGUUGGUUUCUAAGCCCGGGAUCUAUUUGUGGACUUCAAAGAGGCAUGCUGGGAUCAAAUCCCAAAGCUUUGGCAUGAUGUUUAUUAGCCAAGAGAAGUGUAUUGCAAAUUAAGACUCAGAAUGGCAUUUAUGAAUGGGGGUGGGGGAAGCUUCCUUCCCUCUUCGCUGGCAAAUUUCCAGCCAGAGGUCUUCCCUCAUCCCUCCCCCUCUCUUUUUUUUUCUGGUAUGUUGUACUUGUUUGUUUUUGGAGGUUCCCAUUUUUAGUUCCAGCCCACUGCCUGCAGUGGAAAUCCAAGAGGAAACGAGUGCAGAGUUCUCCCGGAGCCUGACGUCCACUUCCUCACGGAUGCAGGAGGCCGGCUCAGCCCUCCUGGCCUCUCUCCUCGGACUGGCGGCGGUGGAAACUAAGCAGCCAACCCAGAAGCGGAGGAGACCACCGUGGAGUGAUUUGUCCUGAAAUCAUCAGGUGCAAAAGCUGCCAGGACAAAACAGAUUCCAACAAGACCAUUGUGCUGUAUGGAUAGCUGGAAAAAAAGACUUGCCUCUGGAUCUCGCUUAAGAGAGCCUUCUACACUGACUGUUCUAUGAAUGACUCCUGUGAGGAGGAGGAGAAGCCCUUGCGCACACUCCAGUGAAGACAGCUGUUACUGGAAAGAGUUAAAUUCAUUCAUUCAAAAGCGCCCUUUCGUAAGUCCUACGGGAAUUUGCUGGAGGCUGGAGGAUCCCGGAGGCUUUCUGGGGGUGGGGACUUUUAAAGACAAUGGGUUGUCAAGUGUGAUGCAAAGAAUGAAGGCGAAGCCCAGGCCUUGUCCCCGAGGCCGGCCAAUUUACUAGUUAGAGAACCUUCCUGCAUUACAGUUCAUUGUUUCCAUCUUAGGGAAGCGAGGGAGGGUUAGGGGUGAGGGUGGAGAAGGAACAGAACAGGGUAGAAGGAGGUGCUGGAGAAACAGAAUGGAGAGGAGGGUUCCUGGCUUCUGUUGUGGCGUCUUUUCUAUUUGACUUCAUGGUUGUAAGUAUUUCCAGAUGGUGAAUCAGACACCAGACGUAACAAUAUUUCCAUAUUUGGGUAUAGCAGUAGCCUGCGUUUUUAACAUUUUUCUCCCUCUGUUAUCCAACCACAAGGCAUUCUUGACAGCUUCAAAUGUUGUUAAAUAUAGACUUAACUUCUGUUCCCAGAGCAGGAAAUUCUUUGGAAUUCCUUGUUUUUCACGCAAUCUGUCUGUCAUGAUUUAAAAUAAAGUUACAGUGGAUGAUCCAA